ACGGGUGAGUAACACGUGGGCAAUCUGCCCUGCACUCUGGGACAAGCCCUGGAAACGGGGUCUAAUACCGGAUAGGACUGCCGGCCGCAUGGUCUGGUGGUGGAAAGCUCCGGCGGUGCAGGAUGAGCCCGCGGCCUAUCAGCUUGUUGGUGGGGUGAUGGCCUACCAAGGCGACGACGGGUAGCCGGCCUGAGAGGGCGACCGGCCACACUGGGACUGAGACACGGCCCAGACUCCUACGGGAGGCAGCAGUGGGGAAUAUUGCACAAUGGGCGCAAGCCUGAUGCAGCGACGCCGCGUGAGGGAUGACGGCCUUCGGGUUGUAAACCUCUUUCAGCAGGGAAGAAGCGUGAGUGACGGUACCUGCAGAAGAAGCACCGGCUAACUACGUGCCAGCAGCCGCGGUAAUACGUAGGGUGCGAGCGUUGUCCGGAAUUAUUGGGCGUAAAGAGCUCGUAGGCGGCUUGUCGCGUCGGAUGUGAAAGCCCGGGGCUUAACCCUGGGUCUGCAUUCGAUACGGGCAGGCUAGAGUUCGGUAGGGGAGAUCGGAAUUCCUGGUGUAGCGGUGAAAUGCGCAGAUAUCAGGAGGAACACCGGUGGCGAAGGCGGAUCUCUGGGCCGAUACUGACGCUGAGGAGCGAAAGCGUGGGGAGCGAACAGGAUUAGAUACCCUGGUAGUCCACGCCGUAAACGUUGGGAA
rnacentral:rRNA from 2 species